UCACUUAUCCACUAAACAGCAAUUUCAAUGUUGACAGAUUGUAUUUUUUUUAUAUAUUUUUGCCUAGAUUGGGUGUUUAAAAAAAAAAAAAAAAAAAACUAAUACAAUCUGUCAACAUUGAAGUUGCUGUUUAGUGGAUAAGUGA